rnacentral:lncRNA from 1 species
UCACUAUACCUUUUUCUUCUGGCCCAGGUAAGGCGAGUCUUGCACUGCACUCAACAUGGUUCAUCUGUAAGUUCACAGCAACUGUUGCUUUUCAUUCAUUUGCAGCAGAAUAUUUUCAGUUUACCAUAAGGGUUUGUGGUUCUCUCAUUCAUCCCAGGUUUUUGCUCAAUGGAAAUAACCAAGGUGAUUAUAUCCAGAGUCUAUUCAUAUUACUUGAUGUAUACAUCCUAUCUGUAGCUAGUUUUGCUUAAAUUACAUUGAGAUUCAUAUUGCUAGACGAUAACUCCAUUGUUUGCAGCUCCGUUGCAUACUUAAUCUGAGUUCAGACUGUUCUUGGUUUUUACUUUUUACGAUUAACAUUGGAAAUAAUAGCUCUAGAUGGUGGUGAGUGUGCGAGAGUAAAUCCUGCAUUUUGGUGCAGUUCCAGCAGCAUGUAUUGUAAGGGUAGCAAGAUUUACGCAAACCUGGCAAAUGCACUAGCGAAGUGUCUGCAUUCUCCUCGCAUUGGACAGGCAUUGCAAUUGGGCUUGCUUUUGGUACAGAAUACCUGCACAAUCUCAAACCUUCUUAGAUUCUGCUUCUCACUAACCAAAAAAAAAAAAAUAUGAACAUGUAAUUUCAAGUUUAAAGUAAGUAAAAUGCACCUUUCCAAAAGUGAUCAUCUGGUAAUGCAGUUCAUACCUGUUAAUUGAUUCUGCAAUGGAUUAGUGAACAAUUUUAAUCAAGAAUAACUUGACAAAUUUUAUGGCAUAUGCAUUUAUCAUUCAAGAGUGUUAAAUCAAGUGGAGUUUAUCUUUACAGUGUUCUCUGGUCAAGCUUGCACAGUCGGGGCCAAAGAUGUUUUUGAAUUGAUUCCAGCACAGGGUACCUGUGCAUGGACAACAGUAGAAAUGUUGUUUUUAGUAAGCGCAGUUGAUGUCAUUUGUGUUUUAGUUUGUAGUACUAACAGCUCUAGAAGGUGUAAUUGAAGUGAUUCGGGCAGUGGCUGAAGAGGGACCCAGCCCAAUCGUACAGCUAUACGUCCAACAUUUGUGUCAACCUGUUAAACAUUGAUAAAGGUUGAUAUAUGUUCCGUUCGUUUCUGAUAGAAGUUAAACUAGUUUAAACUUACUGGAAAAGCAAGAUGGUGAAGUGUGAGAAGCCGUACACACUCCACACUUUUCAGUCCCAGUCCCCUUAUGCUUAGUAGAUACUCUCUACAAAAACAUUUUAUAUUUCAGUAUAUAUUUUAAUAGACCAAACAAGCAAUAUACUUUCUAUUUACCAUAUGAUAUUACUAGCAAAAACUCAUGUCUUGGUGAUACACUAACUGCUGAAGUCGUCUAUUGAUGUGUUCAACCAGUUCUAAAACUAAUGCUUAGAAUUAAUGCUUUAUGCUUACUUCGCUUUGUCUGGUGGAACAUCUCUCAGCCAUUCCAGAUCAAUGCUUCCGUGUUCUCUAACCAGUCGAUUAAGAAAAUUCUGGAUGAAUAUAGUGGUUAGUGUCAACUGACCCGAAGGGCUCAUUGUGAGUAAAAAAGAUUUUUUUUUUUUUAGAAUUUAAUCUGGGUCCUUCUGGAAUGUAAUAUAUUUGUACCUUUAUACGUUCUGCAAGCACAUUGUUCAUCCCACGCUCCUUGAUUGCAUUGGCAAUCUCAUUAACAUCUGCACAUCUUACAGCUUCCCAGUCCAAUGAGUCCAUUGUGUUCUGUGUUCUUUGUCUUUUCUUCUCAUUUGCUUCUGCCUGUUUUCUUAACUCAUCCCAGUCAACAUGUUCUCUUAUCUCCUUUCCAACCCUUCUGCUUUUUGCUUUUCUGGUGGCAGCAUUCAUUUCUUUAGUCUCCUUAAUUUCUGCAAGGCCACGUUCAAUCAAGUCUGGUUCUGUUGUUUUUGGUGAAUUCUUUUGUUGUGGAUUAAGUCCGCUGCUACUUUCCACAAUAUCUAAGCUUUCUCCUGGGUUUGACAGUGACACGUACAGAUUUUCCUGCAUUUCAUUGUUUUGCAUCUGAUCCAAUGAUUUGCUGAAAAUGGGAAGGUCUUCAACAAGCUUUCCUUGAGUUUGUGUGGUUGUGUGCUUGCCUUGAAACUUGCUGCAUGAUGGAUUAUUUGGAGUUGGAGAUAUGGAUGCUUCUUGAGCAGCAAUGGUCAUAUUAUUUUCAUCUGUAGUUUGACUGGUACAUUCUGAUGUAAAUAAACUUGGUUCUUUCACAGAGUUUCUUCUGUGGUUCUUUGAUAUUUCAUAACAUCUUGUUUCCUCGGUAAACAUCUCAUAGUACUCAAAUCCCACGCCUCCUAAGUUGGAAAUAAGAUGCGAUUGACAGUUAUUGGAUGGAAUCGCAGAUGCUUCUAAGGUGCUUCUAGGGCAAUCUACAUUGUAUUUCUUAUGCAUGUGGAAGUCAUUUCCUGCAUUUUGGGUUUUGUUACACUCAUCUUUUGAGUUCUGAUCAGGAAAGACUCUGUCAUAUCCAUGGCUCUGGACUUCAUGUAGCUUGUUAGAUCCAGCCUUUAUUAAAAGCUCCAUAAAAGAACUAGAGCUGUUCCAACUAUUGAAUUUAGAUCUAUCAAUUAAAUCUUCUGCUUCUGAGUUCCCUGAGAAUGAUUCUUUUCUUUCAGCAGCUUGAGCAGUUGGUGAAUCCACAGAGUUUUGAGAUGAAAUAACAGAAUUUUGAGAUGAAAAUGCAUCAUUUAUCUCGCUUCUCUUUUCCCUUGUAUAACCAUUAUUUGCUGUCUUGGUGGUAUCUGUUGUUAAUCUGUUUACCUUUGAUUCAUAGUAUGUCUCUAAGCCACUUAUAGAGCUAAUAAUCCCAAUACUGCUUGUAGAGGAUGCAUUGCUAUUCACUACCUCUUGUUCCUCAUCAAGCUCAGACUCAUGGAGGGUCAUGGAACUUUGGUCACAAAUUGAUUGAUUUGGUGUCCCAUUCCAUUUUAUGGCUUCUUCUAGAUCUGGCAUGCAUGCUAUUGGUUUCUCAAUUACUGAGCUUGUUCUUUCUUCAAAGCAUUGAUUGUUAGCCGACUUCAAAGGAAAACGCGCAGCAAGUGACAUGAAUGCAGAACUGCAGAAAAUAAUCAGUAAGAGGUUUUUCUUCUCCUUUUCUGCCUCUAUACAGUGAUAAAAUAAUCUAGGAGACUCAUUUUUACCUAGAAAGAUGGUCAGAGACAUUUUGGGUAAGAAAUACUCCAAUCACCGAGUCAACAACUGAUCCCUUCCAUUGAGAGAAGCGCCUAUCCCCUGCAGAAAUGAUAUUAUACCAUUUGUCCAUAAAUUAGCAAGUUAAAAUUGUCAAAGGAAAGCUGUCUAGAUCGAGUUUCUGGUUAAGAUGCUUAUACACAUUAAAGUUAAGUUGUUCUGAGAUUUUAUCUAUGUAUUUUGGAUGCUACUUUCCUAUAUUUUCAAGUUUGAGUAAGAUGCAUUCCUUGCUAAUGAAUUGUACAUAGUUUUGGCUGUUGAAGUACUGUAGUGCUUGUAGAAUAGCUAAUUAUAAAUUUCCAAAAUGCACAACUAUAAGGCCCUGCUCAGUGCCAAUGAAGUUCUGCCUUCAAAAUCUUUCAAGUUCCUGAUUGGUCAAUUAUGCUGCCUGAUAAGCUACAAUUUGAUGGCAUUGAGAUUUCAGUUUGAACUACUUUUGACUCUGAGAGAUACUAGUGAUAUGUUUGCAUUCAGUAGACACAUCGUAAAUAAUUUCUGAAAUCCUAAUAGUCCAUGCUUGAUAUAUGCAAAGCCUUUCAUUGUUGACAUAUUCAUCUCACUAAGGAGUCUACCUAUAAUUUAAUGAUGGUAAAUUUCAGUUAGCAUAGCCUAUAUUUUCCUGGAUUUACUUGGCUAUUAAUCACCAUGAAGUCCAAUAAAUGGUAUAAGCUUUAGAUAGAUCGCAAUGGUGUACCUUGUACAAGAUGCAUUCGUGCUAUAAAUGAGUUCGCACGCCCAUGGAAAACUUUUCGUUCUUCUUCCCACCACUUCUCCUUCUCUUCAUCAGUUCCAUCAAUGCCUUCACCAUUGAUGUUUCCCAUUAGAAGUUUCCAUACUUUGUUAGUUUCUUCAUCGAGGUAAACUUUAGGUCGUGGACGUCGUUUCUUGAUGGGUACAAAUGAGUCAGCAAAGGGUAUAAUAGUGCCAUCUCUUCUAUAAAGAACAAGUGCAUUCUGUUCAUUUCCAAUAUAGUAAGGAACAAGAGCACUCUGUUCUUUAUAUGCUAUGCCACCAUUUUCCCUAUUAAUGUUUAGAUGCUGUAAUUGCUCAACUAUAGCAUCAACGUGAGAUAUGCCCCAUAUUACUUCUGGAGGAGUACCUGCAUCAAAAGGCUGCUUGAAUGAGGAAUACUUGAUAUAGUAUUUAGAUAACUUAAAAGCUAUGAUGAUAACUAUCUCGUAACAGUAGUUAUUAUUCCUCAACUAAAGUUCUAUUUCUCACUUGAAGUACCUAGUGACUGGGCUAAGAAUUGGCUCUGAUUGCAUAAGAUGAUUUUCCCAUGUGAUUGCUCCCAAUUUGUGGGGGAGGAUGUGGAAUUAAUUAGAGAGACGUUCUUCUUACUUCUCUUUGUUGUCAGUGUUCCACACAUUUCUUCUGCUAAAGCCUCUAUACAUUCAUGAGGUCUAUUUGAGUCCUCAACUUGCUGUACAUUAUAAUCUGCUGGUAUGAGUCCAACUGUGUAAGUUUGACGCAUCAGGCCCCUCAUUUUGGUUACUUGAGCCAAAUCUUGAAUUUGAGUAGGACCUCGGGGUCUCUUUUUUGUUGACCUCUUCUUUUGGUUGGCAUUGGGGCCAGAAUUUUGCUUUUCAGACUGAAGGCUGCCUGUUUCUCCAUGUGCAUCUGCAUUAGCAGUGCAUGGGGCAGAAAUCAAAUAAUUGGAUGUUGAGAUAGAAGGAUCUACUCUGGCAUCCUUUGGUGGGCAUGUCAUUACUGUUCUUCCUAUGUCUUUUGCAAAAGUCAUACAGGAUUUGCCGGAUGCAGCUGAAUUUUGUCCCUUUUCAGUCUUUUUCUUUAAAAUGCUUGAAAGUGUUCUCUGGUACGUAGGUAAAGAAUUGUACUGAAUCCCAGAUAGAUUUGUGCUGCAGGAAUCUGGCUGUUGAAUGGAACUGAAAAGCUUCCUUUUUGAUCCAUUUUCUUUUCCUUCAUCUGGCAAAAUUGUGCAGGUUCUGCAGGUGGAGCCAUCUGGAUCUACUGAUGGCCGUUCAGUGUCAGCUGGCAACAUGAUUUGUGUGGUUUUCUGCUGUACAGUACCAGUCACUUGGUUUUCCUCUUUGGCAUGGCUCUCCUGUGAGUUGUCAUUCUGUUCUUCC